UCUCCCUUUAAAAUCCUUCCUCU
rnacentral:piRNA from 1 species